rnacentral:rRNA from 1 species
AGUGAACGCUGGCGGUAGGCCUAACACAUGCAAGUCGAACGGCAGCACAGUAAGAGCUUGCUCUUACGGGUGGCGAGUGGCGGACGGGUGAGGAAUACAUCGGAAUCUACUUUUUCGUGGGGGAUAACGUAGGGAAACUUACGCUAAUACCGCAUACGACCUACGGGUGAAAGCAGGGGAUCUUCGGACCUUGCGCGAUUGAAUGAGCCGAUGCCGGAUUAGCUAGUUGGCGGGGUAAAGGCCCACCAAGGCGACGAUCCGUAGCUGGUCUGAGAGGAUGAUCAGCCACACUGGAACUGAGACACGGUCCAGACUCCUACGGGAGGCAGCAGUGGGGAAUAUUGGACAAUGGGCGCAAGCCUGAUCCAGCCAUACCGCGUGGGUGAAGAAGGCCUUCGGGUUGUAAAGCCCUUUUGUUGGGGAAGAAAAGCAGCAGGUUAAUACCCCGCUGUUCUGACGGUACCCAAAGAAUAAGCACCGGCUAACUUCGUG